AGAGUUUGAUCAUGGCUCAGAACGAACGCUGGCGGCGUGGAUAAGACAUGCAAGUCGAACGGGGCAGGUAGCAAUAUCUGUUCAGUGGCGAACGGGUGCGUAACACGUGGGCAACAUGCCUGGAAGAGCGGGAUAGCCCGGGGAAACUCGGAUUAAUACCGCAUGUGACAACGGGGCGGCUUCGCCCUGUUUUCAAAGGUGGGGACCGCAAGGCCUGCCGCUUCCAGAUUGGCCCGCGUCCUAUCAGCUAGUUGGCGGGGUAACGGCCCACCAAGGCGACGACGGGUAGCUGGUCUGAGAGGACGACCAGCCACACUGGAACUGAGACACGGUCCAGACACCUACGGGUGGCAGCAGUCGAGAAUCUUUCACAAUGGGGGAAACCCUGAUGGAGCGACGCCGCGUGGAGGAUGAAGGUCUUCGGAUUGUAAACUCCUGUCAUGAAAGAACAAGCGAUGCGGGUAAACAGCCCGCAAAGUUGAUAGUAUUUCAAGAGGAAGGGACGGCUAACUUCGUGCCAGCAGCCGCGGUAAUACGAAGGUCCCAAGCGUUGUUCGGAAUCACUGGGCGUAAAGAGUGCGUAGGCGGCGCGGAAAGUCAGAUGUGAAAUCCCGGGGCUCAACCUCGGAACGGCAUCCGAUACUCCCGCGCUUGAGGACUGGAGGGGAGUCUGGAAUUCACGGUGUAGCAGUGAAAUGCGUAGAUAUCGUGAGGAACACUAGUGGCGAAGGCGAGACUCUGGACAGUUCCUGACGCUGAGGCACGAAGGCCAGGGGAGCGAAGGGGAUUAGAUACCCCCGUAGUCCUGGCAGUAAACGGUGCUCGCUUGGUAUGCGCGGUUUCGACCCCGUGCGUGCCGGAGCUAACGCGUUAAGCGAGCCGCCU
rnacentral:rRNA from 1 species